GCGUUCAUACAUGCUAUUGCUAAAAUUAAUUUGCAUCUACUGUUUUUAUGGCACUUUAUGAGAAUCUGGAAUUUCAAAAAUAUAUUCAUAUGACUGAUGGCUCCAAAACGUGUUGAUGUCACCUUCAGUCAAUCAAGCAUACUGAAUUUACUGGCGGUUUCAAGAACUGCUCAACAUGGUUCGGCGUCGUUUCAAAUUGAUUCGUUGGCUCAAAAAUAGGUGGUAAAGUAGUGUUUUGUAUAUCAAGAAGAUCAAAUUUUGCUGCUGGAAGUUUUGUGCUUUCUAUUUACUGCAUCUGGAAAUAAUCGGGAUAACCAGAAAAUUUAAAACAAAAAAAAGUCAAUGAAAACAAUCGCCAAGCUGAAAGACAUGCAUUCCAAAUCAUAUCUUCAUUUCAUCAUUUUUAUUGGGUUUCUUAGCAUCUCAGUUCAUGGAUUCCAUGUGAAUAAUUCUGCCACGCAUUCCAUAAGUGGAUCAAUUCGUUCUACUGAUCUUCCUGAAAACACAUCUGAUUCACUAUCAGAAUCUUUCAUCGAGCUGAUUAAACAGUUAACGGGUAUACAAGUUUAUUUGGAAACCAAGACGAGAGAUAUGGAAAAACGAAACAUUGAAUUGAGUCUGAAAGAAAAAGAGGCAAACAAACGAGAGGCAGAAGUAAAUCAAAAGGAAGACAGAAUCAACAAAAAAGAAAACGAAUUGGAAAAAUUGAAUGCAGAUGUAAGGAAGCAAAUAGAGCAAU